rnacentral:rRNA from 1 species
AUUGAACGCUGGCGGCAGGCCUAACACAUGCAAGUCGAGCGAGCGGCGGACGGGUGAGUAAUGUCUGGGAAACUGCCUGAUGGAGGGGGAUAACUACUGGAAACGGUAGCUAAUACCGCAUACCAUCAGAUGUGCCCAGAUGGGAUUAGCUAGUAGGUGGGGUAACGGCUCACCUAGGCGACGAUCCCUAGCUGGUCUGAGAGGAUGACCAGCCACACUGGAACUUGGAAACGGGCCAGACUCCGACGGGAGGCAGCAGUGGGAAAUAUUGCACAAUGGGCGCAAGCCUGAUGGAGCCAUGCCGCGUGUGUGAAGAAGGCCUUCGGGUUGUAAAGCACUUUCAGCGGGGAGGCGUUACCCGCAGAAGAAGCACCGGCUAACUCCGUGCCAGCAGCCGCGGUAAUUC